UACGAAGGUGGCUAGCGUUAUUCGGAAUUACUGGGCGUAAAGCGCGUGUAGGCGGUGCGAUCAGUCAGGGGUGAAAUCCCAGGGCUUAACCCUGGAAUUGCCUUUGAAACUAUCGUGCUAGAAUCAUACAGAGGAUAGUGGAAUUCUUAGUGUAGGAGUGAAAUCCGUAGAGAUUAAGAGGAACACCAGUGGCGAAGGCGGCUAUCUGGGUAUGUAUUGACGCUGAGACGCGAAAGCGUGGGGAGCAAACAGG
rnacentral:rRNA from 1 species